AAUCUUCAACCUAAAAGCCUUUGCGGGUUUGUUAGGAUUGGACUUGGAGGCUUGUCGGCUCAUGAGUCGGCUCCUCUUAAAUGCAUUAGCUUGAUUCCUUGCGGAUCGGCUGUCGGUGUGAUAAUUGUCAACGCCGCGACCGUGAAGCGUUUGGCGAGCUUCUAACCGUCUCGUUAGAGACAGAUUAUUGACCU
rnacentral:misc_RNA from 1 species